GUUUAGCCCCACCAGCUUCCCAGAGCAGCAAGGCCAAGCAUGCCAGAGUCGCCAUCCACCCUGGCCGUGAUGCAGGGCCUCCUUUGCUGGACCCGCAGGCCCUGCAGGACAGAGACUGGCAGCGCACCGUCAUCGCCAUGAAUGGGAUCGAAGUAAAGCUCUCGGUCAAGUUCAACAGCAGGGAGUUCAGCUUGAAGAGGAUGCCAUCCCGAAAACAGACAGGGGUCUUCGGAGUCAAGAUUGCUGUGGUCACCAAGAGAGAGAGGUCCAAGGUGCCCUACAUCGUGCGCCAGUGCGUGGAGGAGAUCGAGCGCCGAGGCAUGGAGGAGGUGGGCAUCUACCGCGUGUCCGGUGUGGCCACGGACAUCCAGGCACUGAAGGCAGCCUUCGACGUCAAUAACAAGGACGUGUCGGUGAUGAUGAGCGAGAUGGACGUGAACGCCAUCGCAGGCACGCUGAAGCUGUACUUCCGUGAGCUGCCCGAGCCCCUCUUCACUGACGAGUUCUACCCCAACUUCGCAGAGGGCAUCGCUCUUUCAGACCCGGUUGCAAAGGAGAGCUGC
rnacentral:sRNA from 1 species